rnacentral:rRNA from 1 species
AUUGAACGCUGGCGGCAGGCCUAACACAUGCAAGUCGAGCGAGCGGCGGACGGGUGAGUAAUGUCUGGGAAACUGCCUGAUGGAGGGGGAUAACUACUGGAAACGGUAGCUAAUACCGCAUACCAUCAGAUGUGCCCAGAUGGGAUUAGCUAGUAGGUGGGGUAACGGCUCACCUAGGCGACGAUCCCAAGCUGGUCUGAGAGGAUGAACAGCCACACUGGAAGUGGACAACGGUCCAGACUCCUACGGAGGGCGGCAGUGGGGAGUAUUGCCCAAGGGGCGCAAGCCUGAUGCAGCCAUGCCGCGUGUGUGAAGAAGGCCUUCGGGUUGUAAAGCACUUUCAGCGGGGAGGCGUUACCCGCAGAAGAAGCACCGGCUAACUCCGUGCCAGCAGCCGCGGUAAUUC